rnacentral:tRNA from 1 species
GGAGGGUAUAGCUCAGUGGUAGAGCAUGUGCUUAGCAUGCACAAGGUCCUGGGUCCAAUCCCCAGUACCUCCA